ensembl:processed_transcript
GCCGAAAAAAUAUUCCAGAUGGCAAAGCUUGUUUGGGGACCUCAACGCAACUGACCUUCCUAGAAUCAUCGUCACCUCUGAAGAGACUUGCCACGGUCUGCACAGAUCCAGCGCUGGGGAAUGAGGAAUUUGACAUUGUAAUUUUUUUUUUCCUUUCGUGCCUUGAAAGAGACUCUUCCCACCAGCUUGUACUACCCACACACACCCUCCAUGCACUUGGAAGAUGAAGGCAGGAGGAAAAGGAGUUCAACCUUUGUUAUGCAUUUAGUUGGAGGCCAGCCUGGGGGUCUUGUGGGGCCCUGUAUCAAAAAGGUGAGGUGAGAACUAUUCUCUCAAAAGCAGAGUAUAAACUCUCAGCCUGUGUGCUGAUCCUGUCCCAGCCUUUUAAACUAAAUGAGUUAUAUAACUACUAUACAAACCCCACCCUACCCCAGCUGUUCUCUAAGCAAUAGUCUACCUAAGGAACUGUGUGCCUUGAAGCCAAAAAACAAAACAAACAAACCCCACAGUGCCCUCACUUGCAAAGUGUGCUUG